GACGAACUGUCCUAACGUUGUUCGGAAUCACUGGGCUUAAAGGGCGCGUAGGCGGCUUGCAAAGUCAGGGGUGAAAGCCUCCAGCUUAACUGGAGAAGUGCCUUUGAUACUGGCGAGCUCGAGGGAGGUAGGGGCAGAUGGAACUUCCGGUGGAGCGGUGAAAUGCGUUGAUAUCGGAAGGAACGCCGGUGGCGAAAGCGAUCUGCUGGACCUCUUCUGACGCUGAGGCGCGAAAGCCAGGGUAGCGAACGGG
rnacentral:rRNA from 1 species